GACGAACGCUGGCGGCGUGCUUAACACAUGCAAGUCGAGCGGUAAGGCCCUUUCGGGGGUACGACGAGCGGCGAACGGGCGAGUAACACGUGGGUGACCUGCCCUCAGCUCUGGGAUAAGCCUGGGAAACCGGGUCUAAUACCGGAUAUGACUCCAUGACGCAUGUUGUGGGGUGGAAAGCCUUGUGCGGCUGAGGAUGGGCCCGCGGCCUAUCAGCUUGUUGGUGGGGUGAUGGCCUACCAAGGCGACGACGGGUAGCCGGCCUGAGAGGGCGACCGGCCACACUGGGACUGAGACACGGCCCAGACUCCUACGGGAGGCAGCAGUGGGGAAUCUUGCGCAAUGGGCGAAAGCCUGACGCAGCGACGCCGCGUGAGGGAUGACGGCCUGG
rnacentral:rRNA from 1 species